rnacentral:lncRNA from 1 species
ACCUAACAGUUAUUGGUCAUACUUCUUAGUUAAAUCCGACCCACUAUUCACUAGUAGAUGCAAAGCCGUCAUUGGGACCCUCACCUAAAGUCAUUGGGCCCAACCUCAUCCUUACCCUGGAGCAACUCUUUGCUAAUAGAGUGAUUACAUAUUUUCGAUAUAACUGAACUACUGUGACCAGUCGAGAACAAUUAACAUCAGUACCACACCCGCAUAUCUACAACGGUGGAAGACCUAUGGACUUAAUAUUUAUGG